GGAGUUAGCCGGUGCUUUCUUGUGAGGUGCCGUCAAAUUUCUUCCCUCACGACAGUGCUUUACGACCCUAGGGCCUUCAUCACACACGCGGCAUGGCUGCGUCAGGGUUUCCCCCAUUGCGCAAUAUUCCCCA
rnacentral:rRNA from 1 species